GAUGAAGAACGUCGCGAAAUGCGAUACGUAAUGUGAAUUGCAGAAUUCAGUGAAUCAUCGAAUCUUUGAACGCAUAUUGCGCUCUCUGGUAUUCCGGAGAGCAUGCUUGUUUGAGUAUCAGUAAACACCUCAACUUCCAUAUCUUUUUUGAAAUGGGAGUUGGACUUGAGUGAUCCCAACGCUUUUCCUCACCGAAAAGUGGCGGGUUACUUGAAAUGCAGGUGCAGCUGGACUUUUCUCUGAGCUAUAAGCAUAUCUAUUUAGUCUGCCUAAAAAACAGAUUAUUACCUUUGCUGCAGCUAACAUAAAGGAGAUUAGUUCUUGUGCUGACUGAUGCAGGAUUCACAAAGACGGCUUCGGCCGACUUUGUAAACUCGAUCUCAAAUCAAGUAAGACUACCCGCUGAACUUAAGCAUAUCAAUAAGCGGAGGA
rnacentral:misc_RNA from 1 species